CAGGCCUAAUUUAAUUAUAGAUCAGGACUAAGGAAGCAACAAAAAUACUUUACACAGGCAAAAUGCAAGCUUUUAAAAAGGUUAUAGAAUACAAAGGAAUUUACUUCAGAAUGCAACAGAAUAGAAAGCAGUAUUAGCAUUAAGUAGAUGCUAGAAUUUGACCUAUAUUUUGUACAAACAAAAACACAAACAACAGAUGCCUCACUUCAUAGUGGAAACCACUGAUCGACCCUUCAGGAGACACUCCCCACCCACCAAUUAUACCCUCCAAGUACCAGGACAGGAAAUUUUGGAAAUCAUCCCAGAAGUCCUCACACGUGGCAGUUCUUGACCAUCACCAUCACCAAGCUUUGUUAAUUCACCCUUGCUAGAGGCAAAUGGGAAUAACUGUAUUAGCUCUUCUUGUGCAAUCACUUGUCCUUAACAGCAUCCUCAGCUGCCCCAGCAUGCAGCGUUCCAGUAAUGGAACGCUGUGCAUCAUGUUGGCCAUUGUUUUCUAUACAGUGAUAUUGACAUUAACAUUUGUGGGUGUAUGCAGAUCUCCUUUGCCAGGCCUCCUUGUAAACUGGCUAUUAAAAAAAUUGAAAGUA